AUGGUUUUCCCAGGAAGGGGAAGGAUCCGUGUUGAUGCUGACAGUGUUCAGAGGGUAUUUGAUCUCCCAAACAAGGGUCCAAAAGUCAGAUAUUUAGUUGACAAGGAUGCCACUAGGAGAUUCAGACAGGCUUUCAACAUAACUGGAAAUUCUCAUCCCCAGAUCACUACAUGGCUCAAGAUGAUUGAGCAUAUGGCUGGAAGAACGGAUGACACAUUUUUUAUGGCCUGGCUUGCGGUUGCCUUCAGUACUUUUCUAGCACCAACCACGGCCUUGAAGCUCAGCCCAAAGUGUUAUGGACUUGUGCUAGAUCAUCAAAUGCUAAAGAAUACAAACAUCUGCCUCUUUGUAGCAGAACACAUUAACGAAGCUUUCCGGAACAUGGACCAGGAGAAGCAAACUGUUUGCUGCUGCUUGUAUCACUUGAUGGUUAGUGAAAACGACCACUUUUUUCCAUCUGUUCUUGUUCUUUCUGUGCAGUUAUAG
rnacentral:rRNA from 1 species